rnacentral:rRNA from 1 species
GUCGAACGGUAGAGGGGGCAACCCCUUGAGAGUGGCGAACGGGUGAGUAAUAUAUCGGAACGUGCCCAGUCGUGGGGGAUAACGUAGCGAAAGUUACGCUAAUACCGCAUACGAUCUAAGGAUGAAAGCGGGGGAUCGCAAGACCUCGCGCGACUGGAGCGGCCGAUAUCAGAUUAGGUAGUUGGUGAGGUAAAGGCUCACCAAGCCAACGAUCUGUAGCUGGUCUGAGAGGACGACCAGCCACACUGGAACUGAGACACGGUCCAGACUCCUACGGGAGGCAGCAGUGGGGAAUUUUGGACAAUGGACGAAAGUCUGAUCCAGCCAUUCCGCGUGCAGGAUGAAGGCCCUCGGGUUGUAAACUGCUUUUGUACAGAACGAAAAGGUCUCCAUUAAUACUGGGGGCUCAUGACGGUACUGUAAGAAUAAGCACCGGCUAACUACGUGCCAGCAGCCGCGGUAAUACGUAGGGUGCAAGCGUUAAUCGGAAUUACUGGGCGUAAAGCGUGCGCAGGCGGUUAUAUAAGACAGAUGUGAAAUCCCCGGGCUCAACCUGGGAACUGCAUUUGUGACUGUAUAGCUAGAGUACGGUAGAGGGGGAUGGGAAUUCCGCGUGUAGCAGUGAAAUGCGUAGAUAUGCGGGAGGAACACCGAUGGCGAAGGCAAUCCCCUGGACCUGUACUGACGCUCAUGCACGAAAGCGGUGGGAGCAACACAGGAUUAGAUACCCUGGUAGUCCAC